ACCCAAUUAUAUGUUAUUCAAACUUAUCAUAUUAUGGUUAAAUUAUGCUAGGUAUCUAUAAAUACCCAACUCGUUACCAUCGGUUGAGUUUAAAGAGAAAAUUUCUCUCAGCUCUUUGUUUUAGCUGUUUCUCAUCUCUCAGGUUUGUCAAGCAUCUUCACUUGUCAGCUUCCUUUGUCUUUGGGUGGAGGAGGAAGAAUUUGCUUCUCCAGCCUAGUUUUGCGCAAUAGCCCUCCCUCGUAUGGGUUGGGUGUAUGUAGGUAUUUUUAUUUGGUUUUAUUUUUGUAGGCCUACAGGACAUAGAGAGGAUAACUUUUGAAGGCUUAUGUGUUGAAUUAUUUUGGCUAUGCUUGUGUUGAAUAAGUCAUUGAAUGUGGUUGGUAUCUCUUUAAGUUUGUAAGUAAGUCAUAUUUAAUGGUUGCCGACUCCGUAGGUCACGUGAGAGUGAGAGGCCGCGAGCUCUACCUAAUCUCCUCCGAUGAUCACCAUUAACGGUUCUAUUUGUGCAGUUGUUAAGAUCUAGCAGCUGGCUUUGUUUCUAGCGAUAGUUGGAGCUCACGAAGCUCGCAAACUCUCUUGUUGACAUGGCAGCUUUUGCCUCUCA
rnacentral:misc_RNA from 1 species